ACUGACGCUGAGACUCGAAAGCAUGGGUAGCGAACAGGAUUAGAUACCCUGGUAGUCCAUGCCGUAAACGAUGAGUGCUAGGUGUUGGAGGGUUUCCGCCCUUCAGUGCCGGAGCUAACGCAUUAAGCACUCCGCCUGGGGAGUACGACCGCAAGGUUGAAACUCAAAGGAAUUGACGGGGGCCCGCACAAGCGGUGGAGCAUGUGGUUUAAUUCGAAGCUACGCGAAGAACCUUACCAGGUCUUGACAUCUUGCGCCAACCCUAGAGAUAGGGCGUUUCCUUCGGGAACGCAAUGACAGGUGGUGCAUGGUCGUCGUCAGCUCGUGUCGUGAGAUGUUGGGUUAAGUCCCGCAACGAGCGCAACCCUUGUUACUAGUUGCCAGCAUUAAGUUGGGCACUCUAGUGAGACUGCCGGUGACAAACCGGAGGAAGGUGGGGACGACGUCAGAUCAUCAUGCCCCUUAUGACCUGGGCUACACACGUGCUACAAUGGACGGUACAACGAGUCGCGAACUCGCGAGGGCAAGCAAAUCUCUUAAAACCGUUCUCAGUUCGGACUGCAGGCUGCAACUCGCCUGCACGAAGUCGGAAUCGCUAGUAAUCGCGGAUCAGCAUGCCGCGGUGAAUACGUUCCCGGGCCUUGUACACACCG
rnacentral:rRNA from 2 species